UUUCCUUGAUGCCACAGGCCUGUUAAAAUGCAGUACAGUUAUUUAGUGCACUGGUGACAUAGCGCUCUCUGGCACGGCAGGCCCGGUGUGGGCAGUGCGCGAAGUGAACUCACCAGAGGUUUAUGGGAGGAAGGAUUCCUGCUGUGCUCACCUACUUUGGAAGGGCAUUGGGUAAGAGGUGCUUGGCUCUCCAGUUGCCUAAGCACAAGGAGACCUACAUUCCCCACACGUGGAAACAGCCAGCCCCGAGAGCCUCUGCAGAGAAGUCCCACAGAACUGACUUUUUGCUGUAGGCAAACCACCAGUGCCUACAGCAUUAAGCUCAGCUUCUGUUUUAAAUGGGGAGUUGAAUUUAUUUUAGUUUGGGAUCUUCAGCUGGAAUUUCCUGAAGCCUUAAAAAAACACAAGAAGAUGACCAGCCUGGUUUGCGGCUUCUUCCUGGACUCUGUCCACGUUGAGGCUUGCUGCAGAGUUAAGGAACACUUCUCGUUAUGCUGGAAAUUGAGACAAGGACACUCAGCUAUAAUGAAAAAGUGUGAAGUGAGUUUAUGUUUUGAAUUUGAAAGAACAAAAUCAACUUGAACUAUUCAGUGCACUGCCAUGAGCCUUCUAACAAACCAAUUCGGCCCCAUGUCAGGCACGUGCACAAAAGUUUUCCUGAAAGAAGUGUUUUUGUUAGACAUGUCAUCUUAUUCACUACAGUUACUCUGCUCAAAACGAUCUCAUUUAACUGAUGCAUCUACAGAUACAGAGAUAAAGGAUUCUACAGAAGGAUUACAGUUUCCACAUCUAGUGGGAGGAAAAGAGGCUACAUGGACUUGGCUGAGAAAUGAAAGGCUACAAGCUUGCAAGAAGUGACCAUGCAGAUCCACUGUCUCUUUGCACUCCAAAAACUCCAGAUCCACUUCAUCCACAGUGGGACCAUAGGAAAAGUUUCACUGCACUCCUGCCUUGAGAGCAG